UACGGAGGGUGCGAGCGUUGUCCGGAAUCACUGGCGUAAAGGGCGCGUAGGCGGCCUGAUAAGUAGGGGGUGAAAUCCUGCGGCUUAACCGCAGGGCUGCCUUCUAAACUGUCAGGCUGGAGCACAGUAGAGGCAGGUGGAAUUCCCGGUGUAGCGGUGGAAUGCGUAGAGAUCGGGAAGAACAUCAGUGGCGAAGGCGGCCUGCUGGGCUGUUGCUGACGCUGAGGCGCGACAGCGUGGGGAGGCAAACAGG
rnacentral:rRNA from 1 species